rnacentral:tRNA from 1 species
GUCAAUUUAGUUUAAUUAAAACACUUGCCUUGCAAGCAAGAAAUAGGGUAUAAACCCUAAUAGCC